CCUACGGGAGGCAGCAGUGAGGAAUAUUGGUCAAUGGGCGCAAGCCUGAACCAGCCAAGUCGCGUGAGGGAUGACGGUCCUAUGGAUUGUAAACCUCUUUUGUCGGGGAGCAAGGCCCGCCACGUGUGGCGGGAAGGAGAGUACCCGAAGAAAAAGCAUCGGCUAACUCCGUGCCAGCAGCCGCGGUAAUACGGAGGAUGCGAGCGUUAUCCGGAUUUAUUGGGUUUAAAGGGUGCGUAGGCGGGUUAUCAAGUCAGCGGUAAAAUCGUGGAGCUACACUCCAUGCAGCCGUUGAAACGGAUGAUCGUGAGGGGGCGAGAAGUAUGCGGAAUGCGUGGGGUAGCGGUGAAAUGCAUAGAUAUCACGCAGAACUCUGAUUGCGAAGGCAGCAUACCGGCGCCCGACUGACGCUGAAGCACGAAAGCGUGGGUAUCGAACAGGAUUAGAUACACGAGUAGUC
rnacentral:rRNA from 1 species